rnacentral:misc_RNA from 1 species
GGCGUGCUUUCUUUGCUCAUACAUUUGGGGAAAAAGAGAGAGAGAGCAGACAAAAUAACUCUCUCGGUGAAGUGAAGGGGCUACUUUGACGUAGAUAGAUACCUAAUAAAGAAAAAGAGAGAACCAAAAGUGGAUUCUUUUUCCUUUUCGACCAACGAAAGCAAUCUCGUGGGUGAUGGAGGGAAUGGGCUGUGACACUGUGCUUUCAAAUUCACCCCACAAAAAAAAAUAUCUAAAAAUAGGGUAGGGCAUUACCUUAUUUUGAUUGAAGGGGUUACCAGAAU